rnacentral:rRNA from 1 species
AUACGUAGGUGACAAGCGUUAUCCGGAUUUACUGGGCGUAAAGGGCGUGUAGGCGGUCUUGCAAGUCAGAAGUGAAAUUCCUGAGCUCAACUCGGGCGCUGCUUCCGAAACUGCAGGACUUGAGUGCUGGAGGGGAUAGCGGAAUUCCUAGUGGAGCGGUAAAAUGCGCAGAUAUUAGGAAGAACACCGGUGGCGAAGGCGGCUAUCUGAACAGUAACUGACGCUGAGGCGCGAAAGCGUGGGGAGCAAACAGGAUUAGAUACCCUGGUAGUCCACGCUGUAAACGAUGAAUACUAGGUGUAGGGGGUAUCGACUCCCUCUGUGCCGCAGUUAACACAAUAAGUAUUCCGCCUGGGGAGUACGGCCGCAAGGUUGAAACUCAAAUGAAUUGACGGGG